rnacentral:snRNA from 1 species
GGAUGUGAGGGCAAUCUGGCUGCGUCAUUUGUCACCCCACUGAUUGCCAGGGUUGAUUCUGCUGAUCUGGCUAGCUGGGGUGGGAUGCCUUCCUCCCUUACCAGUCUAUGUGUGUCCUUCCAGAGGUUGUGCACUAGGUUGAAGAGGGUGACCAUCCCCAAUACAGGAGGGCCCAUCUUCAGUCAUGGGUAUAUAAGUAGCUGCAUUCCACUGCUGGAAAUUCCAAAUAGACUCUCAAAAUAUUACUGCUCAUUAACAAUGCAUCUGGUUACCCAAGAACUCUGAUGGAGAUGUAGAAGAGUAAUUCUGUUGC